GUGCUCGCUUCGGCAGCACAUAUACUAAAAUUGGAAAGAUACAGAGAAGAUUAGCAUGGCCCCUGUGCAAGGAUGAUACACAAAUAAAAAUAAACAAACAUUAAUUAA